rnacentral:rRNA from 1 species
GUGAGGAAUAUUGGUCAAUGGGCGGGAGCCUGAACCAGCCAAGUCGCGUGAAGGAAGAAGGAUCUAUGGUUCGUAAACUUCUUUUGCAGGGGAAUAAAGUGCAGGACGUGUCCUGUGUUGUAUGUACCCUGAGAAUAAGGAUCGGCUAACUCCGUGCCAGCAGCCGCGGUAAUACGGAGGAUCCGAGCGUUAUCCGGAUUUAUUGGGUUUAAAGGGUGCGUAGGUGGUUUGAUAAGUCAGCGGUGAAAGUGUGCAGCUUAACUGUAAAAAUGCCGUUGAAACUGUCGGACUUGAGUGUAAAUGAGGUAGGCGGAAUUCGUGGUGUAGCGGUGAAAUGCAUAGAUAUCACGCAGAACUCCGAUUGCGAAGGCAGCUUACUAAGCUACAACUGACACUGAAGCACGAAAGCGUGGGGAUCAAACAGGAUUAGAAACCCCUGUAGUCC